rnacentral:rRNA from 1 species
UACAGAGGAGCCAAGCGUUGUCCGGAUUGACUGGGCGUAAAGCGCACGCAGGCGGUUUGGCGCGUGGGGUGUGAAAUCUGGCCGCUUAACGGCCAGGCGCCAUCCCAUACGACUAGACUGGAGUGAUGCAGAGGUCGGUGGAAUUGCCGGUGUAGUGGUGAAAUGCGUAGAGAUCGGCAGGAACACCCAGGGGGAAACCAGCCGACUGGGCAUCGACUGACGCUGAGGUGCGAGAGCGUGGGGAGCGAACCGG